rnacentral:rRNA from 1 species
GGCUGAGUAACGCGUAGGCAAUCUGCCCAGUGGUGGGGGAUAACUCGCCGAAAGGUGAGCUAAUACCGCAUAAGUUCAGUGGAUGAAAUGGCCACUGAGGAAAGCAGCAAUGCACCACUGGAGGAGCCUGCGUCCUAUCAGGUAGUUGGUGGGGUAACGGCCUACCAAGCCGAUGACGGGUAGCUGGUCUGAGAGGACGACCAGCCAGAAGGGGACUGAGACACGGCCCCUACUCCUACGGGAGGCAGCAGCAAGGAAUCUUGGGCAAUGGGCGAAAGCCUGACCCAGCGACGCCGCGUGAGGGAUGAAGGCCUUCGGGUCGUAAACCUCUUUUGCGGGGGAAGAAGAUCUGACGGUACCCCGCGAAUAAGCCACGGCUAACUACGUGCCAGCAGCCGCGGUAAUACGUAGGUGGCAAGCGUUGUCCGGAUUUACUGGGCGUAAAGGGCUUGUAGGCGGUUUGUUAAGUCUGGUGUGAAAUCUCCCGGCUCAACCGGGAGGGGUCAUCGGAUACUGGCAGACUUGAGACGGGUAGAGGAAAGCAGAAUUCCCGGUGUAGCGGUGAAAUGCGUAGAUAUCGGGAGGAAUACCAGUGGCGAAGGCGGCUUUCUGGGCCUGUUCUGACGCUGAGGAGCGAAAGCGUGGGGAGCAAACCGGAUUAGAUACCCGGGUAGUCCACGCCCUAAAC